rnacentral:rRNA from 1 species
AGUGAACGCUGGCGGUAGGCCUAACACAUGCAAGUCGAACGGCAGCACAGUAAGAGCUUGCUCUUACGGGUGGCGAGUGGCGGACGGGUGAGGAAUACAUCGGAAUCUACUUUUUCGUGGGGGAUAACGUAGGGAAACUUACGCUAAUACCGCAUACGACCUACGGGUGAAAGCAGGGGAUCUUCGGACCUUGCGCGAUUGAAUGAGCCGAUGUCGGAUUAGCUAGUUGGCGGUGUAAAGGCCCACCAAGGCGACGAUCCGUAGCUGGUCUGAGAGGAUGAUCAGCCACACUGGAACUGAGACACGGUCCAGACUCCUACGGGAGGCAGCAGUGGGGAAUAUUGGACAAUGGGCGCAAGCCUGAUCCAGCCAUACCGCGUGGGUGAAGAAGGCCUUCGGGUUGUAAAGCCCUUUUGUUGGGAAAGAAAAGCAGCAGGUUAAUACCCCGCUGUUCUGACGGUACCCAAAGAAUAAGCACCGGCGAACUUCGU